rnacentral:rRNA from 1 species
CGGGACGGGUGAGUAACGCGUGGGUAACCUGCCUUGUACUGGGGGACAACAGUUAGAAAUGACUGCUAAUACCGCAUAAGCGCACAGUAUCGCAUGAUACAGUGUGAAAAACUCCGGUGGUACAAGAUGGACCCGCGUCUGAUUAGCUAGUUGGUAAGGUAACGGCUUACCAAGGCGACGAUCAGUAGCCGACCUGAGAGGGUGACCGGCCACAUUGGGACUGAGACACGGCCCAA